UACGUAGGUGGCGAGCGUUAUCCGGAAUUAUUGGGCGUAAAGGGUGCGUAGGCGGUUAUUUAAGUUUAAGGUUAAAGUUCAGGGCUCAACCCUGUGAUGCCUUAGAAACUGGAUAACUAGAGUGCAGGAGAGGUUAGUGGAAUUCCAUGUGUAGCGGUAAAAUGCGUAGAUAUAUGGAGGAACACCAGUGGCGAAGGCGGCUAACUGGCCUGUAACUGACGCUGAGGCACGAAAGCGUGGGGAGCAAACAGGAUUAGAUACCCUGGUAGUCCCUGAG
rnacentral:rRNA from 1 species